AGAGUUUGAUCCUGGCUCAGGACGAACGCUGGCGGCGUGCCUAACACAUGCAAGUCGAACGGGCUCCGGGGCAACUCGGAGUCAGUGGCGGACGGGUGCGUAACACGUGAGGAACAUGCCUAUCGGCGGGGGAUAGCCGGUCCAACGACCGGGUAAUACCGCGUACGACCUUUGGGUGGCAUCACCUGGGGGUGAAAGCAGCAAUGCACCGAUAGAGUGCCUCGCGGCCUAUCAGCUAGUUGGUGAGGUAAUGGCUCACCAAGGCGACGACGGGUAGCUGGUCUGAGAGGAUGACCAGCCACAUUGGGACUGAGACACGGCCCAGACUCCUACGGGAGGCAGCAGUGGGGAAUAUUGCGCAAUGGGCGAAAGCCUGACGCAGCGACGCCGCGUGUGGGAUGACGGUCUUCGGAUUGUAAACCACUGUCGGGAGGGACGAAGCUCUGACGGUACCUCCAAAGGAAGCACCGGCUAACUCUGUGCCAGCAGCCGCGGUAAUACAGAGGGUGCAAGCGUUGUCCGGAAUCACUGGGCGUAAAGGGCGCGUAGGCGGCCUGAUAAGUCGGGGGUGAAAUUCUGCGGCUUAACCGCAGGACGGCCUUCGAGACUGUCGGGCUUGAGCACGGUAGAGGCAGGUGGAAUUCCCGGUGUAGCGGUGGAAUGCGUAGAGAUCGGGAAGAACAUCGGUGGCGAAGGCGGCCUGCUGGGCCGUUGCUGACGCUGAGCGCGACAGCGCGGGGAGCAAACAGGAUUAGAUACCCUAGUAGUCC
rnacentral:rRNA from 1 species